rnacentral:rRNA from 1 species
UAGAGUUUGACCAUGCUCAGAUUGAACGCUGGCGGCAGGCCUAACACAUGCAAGUCGAGCGGAUGAGAGGAGCUUGCUCCUGGAUUCAGCGGCGGACGGGUGAGUAAUGCCUAGGAAUCUGCCUGGUAGUGGGGGACAACGUUUCGAAAGGAACGCUAAUACCGCAUACGUCCUACGGGAGAAAGCAGGGGACCUUCGGGCCUUGCGCUAUCAGAUGAGCCUAGGUCGGAUUAGCUAGUUGGUGAGGUAAUGGCUCACCAAGGCGACGAUCCGUAACUGGUCUGAGAGGAUGAUCAGUCACACUGGAACUGAGACACGGUCCAGACUCCUACGGGAGGCAGCAGUGGGGAAUAUUGGACAAUGGGCGAAAGCCUGAUCCAGCCAUGCCGCGUGUGUGAAGAAGGUCUUCGGAUUGUAAAGCACUUUAAGUUGGGAGGAAGGGCAGUAAAUUAAUACUUUGCUGUUUUGACGUUACCGACAGAAUAAGCACCGGCUAA